rnacentral:tRNA from 1 species
ACCUCGGUAACUCAGUUGGUAGAGUAGGUGGCUGUUAACCACCCUGUCACAGGUUCGAGUCCUGUCCGAGGUGCCA